rnacentral:lncRNA from 1 species
GGUGCCUUCACAGUCUAAUGGGGGAAAUGGAUAUUAGACAAAGAAGCACAUGUUAUCACAAGUGGUAAUUCUGAGAAAAUAAAUCAGUGUUUGUGAGAUAGAGCGAAGGUAGGACCCAGCUUAAGGUUCAUGGAAGGUCUCUCCCAUGUGUCCAGGGAUUUUGUUAUCAGAACAGAACUGGUCCUCUGGCCCUGAAAAGAGCGUCUAAGAUAAAAACUGGGUGGCCGUGCUCAGCUACCUGGGAAACUGAGGCAGAAGGAUUACUUGAACCUAGGAGUUUGAGCCCAGCUCAGGAAGUACAGUGCAACCCUGUCUUGAGGAUGGAGGGCAGUGGCACCUGAGAAGUGGGAUCCAGGACUAUGUCUGAAGCAGAUGGAGGGUCAGCAUUUUGGGAAAAAAAAAGUGUCACACAAAGAAACACCCAAAUAAAGCAAAAUUAAG